rnacentral:rRNA from 1 species
CCUACGGGGUGCAGCAGUGGGGGAUAUUGCACAAUGGGGGGAACCCUGAUGCAGCGACGCCGCGUGGGUGAAGGAGUGCUUCGGCAUGUAAAGCCCUAUCGGCAGGGAAGAAGCAAGACGGUACCUGACUAAGAAGCCCCGGCUAACUACGUGCCAGCAGCCGCGGUAAUACGUAGGGGGCGAGCGUUAUCCGGAUUCACUGGGUGUAAAGGGAGCGUAGACGGCCAUGCAAGCCAGGGGUGAAAGCCCGGGGCCCAACCCCGGGACUGCCCUUGGAACUGUGCGGCUAGAGUGCGGGAGGGGCAGGCGGAAGUCCUGGUGUAGCGGUGAAAUGCGUAGAUAUCAGGAGGAACACCGGCGGCGAAGGCGGCCUGCUGGACUGCGACUGACGUUGAGGCUCGAAAGCGUGGGGAGCGAACAGGAUUAGAUACCCGAGUAGUC